CGGUCGGCUGCGGUGGCGGCGUUUGGAUGAUUGUCUCUCGGCGGCGGAGUCGGUAACACUGUGGUGACACUAUCUCUGUCAUGCAUCAAACUUAUAAAAUUGGCUGGGCAUGGUGGUGCAUGCCUGUAAUCCCAGCUACUUGGAAGGCUGAGGCUGGAGAAUCACUUGAAUCCAGGAGACGGAGGUUGCAGUGAGCAGAGAUUGCACCACUGCACUCCAGACUGGGCAACAGAGCAAGACUCCGUCUCCAUAGAAACAAAAAAACAAAACUUACAUAUGUGUAUAAGCCUGUGUCAGGAUUCUGUACUUUUCCUUUUAUCUACGGUUUGCAUAUUUAUAUUUCUUCAGUAAUAUAUGCUGUUUCAAGUACUACAGCUUUAUAUUAAACCUUAUUGUCUGGUAGAACAAAACUUUCCACAUCUAAAAAGUUUUCUUAACUAUUAUUUUACUCAUUCAUUUGAAUUUUAGAGUAUGCUUAUCAAGCUCUAUGAAAAAUUACAUUGUGGUUGGCUGGGAUUUUGUUGACUUUGCAUGUUAAUUUAGAAAAAACUGACAUCUUGAAGGAGUGUUUUCCCAUACAAAAUGUAUUUAUAUCUGUUAUGUCUUUAGGCAGAGUUUUCUAUUUAUCCACUAAGGUCUUGUACAUUUUUUAUUGGCUUUAUUUCUGAGUACUUUAUAUUUUUGUUGCUAUUGUUUUAAUUCAUUUUCUGAUUGGUUGCUAUUGUGUUGGAAAGUUAUUGAGUAUAUAUUGAUUAUAUAUUCAGUCUCCUGAAUGUCUUAUGACAUUCUGUUUUUUUGGUUCAUUCUGUUUAAUUUUUUAGGUGAUGUUUCAUAUCAUUCAUGGCGUAUAUUUGCUUUGCAUCUUUCUUGUCUAUUUUCUGCAUUUUUUUUUUCUGGUCUAAUUACAUUGUCUAGGAUUACAAUGUUUGAUUGUUCCUAUUUUUAAUUGCAAAGGUUUUUAUGUUUUUACCAUUUAGUGUCACGUCUGUUGGAGAUUUCUCUUGUCUAUUCUGCAUGUCAGUUUAAGGAUGUCUCUAUUCCUGGAUUGUUAAGAGUGUGCACAAAAAGAAGAUACAGUUAUUUAAUUUUAGGAGAAUACCAAUACUGUAAAUAGC
rnacentral:lncRNA from 1 species